GUGCUCCCUUUGACAGCACAUAUACUAAAAUUGGACCGAUGCAGCAAAGAUUAGCACGGUCCCUGUGCAAGGAUACCAUGCACAUUUGAUGGAUGUUAACUAAAUUU